rnacentral:rRNA from 1 species
UACGAAGGGGGCUAGCGUUGCUCGGAAUCACUGGGCGUAAAGCGCACGUAGGCGGCUUUUUAAGUCAGGGGUGAAAUCCUGGAGCCUCAACUCCAGAACUGCCUUUGAUACUGAGAGCUUGAGUCCGGGAGAGGUGAGUGGAACUGCGAGUGUAGAGGUGAAAUUCGUAGAUAUUCGCAAGAACACCAGUGGCGAAGGCGGCUCACUGGCCCCGGUACUGACGCUGAGGUGCGAAAGCGUGGGGAGCAAACAGG